CUCUCCGGAUGUUCAUCUCACUCUUCCUCUUCUUUGUUCAUGUUCUUCUGCUAUUUUGAUUCUUUCUUCUAACAUGGUUUACGAAAAUGCUUUUGACGUGCAAUGUGCGGUUUAACGACGGUGGUAGAUCUGUGGUGAUUUUCGGCGAUGAGGGUGGUGGUGGUCGAAUUUGAAAUGGUCGAUGUGUUUUACCAACGUGUUGCUUCAAACUUGUCUUUUCUCUUCUGAAAGUUAUUGUUUGUUUUUGUUCCAGAAAUGAAGACGAUAUUGUUUUCUCUUUUUUUCAUAUUACAAUGUUUCUUUGCUUGAGCGUUUUACGGUGGUAUGCGGUAGAUAUAUGGCAAAGCUCCAAACUUUCUUGAAGUUUUUCAAAGUAGAUGUUGUUUGUUGGAGAUGUCUCCGUUGAGUUGGUUAGGCAUUGCAUGCAUGAAGCUACUGUUGUUGGUGAACUAAUUUUUAUUUCGGUCGUUUACGUGGUGUUGCAGAAUGUAUGUAUAAAAGUGGCUUCCUUGAGUACGAAUCACUAUGGAGAUAGCUUUCAGAAUAACUGUCGAUGGUCAUUUUCAUAGAAAAGAUUGAAACUUUACAUUGAUUUUAAGUUCUACUGAUACACACGGUGUCGUAGGAUAACAUUUGAACAGUAGCAAUGGCUUAGAAGUCUUUUUGGGUUACACGGGCUCACUAAUCAGAGACGAUUCUUAACUCGGUGAUUUUGCAUAUGCUGAAACAUCAACUUUGUCACUUUCAACAAAUGAGUCUGUUUCUGAUUUUGUUCCAUUUAUGCAUUUUUCCACGGGCCAGCGGGUUGACGGGUUAUAAAAGUGGUCUGGUCCGAAUUUAAAUAGGCGGGCCCAGUAGCAAAAGUUGAAAUGCGGGUACCGUGACCCGCCCAAGUGAAGGACCUAUGCUUCUGUUAGUUGUUUUGUGAUUCUGAUAUUGAUGUUUUGAUUUAGACAGAUGGAGCAUCAACAGAAUAUCAACAAAGAAUCACAUAGCAAGUGCCAUGUAAUUGUAAGUGUAUUCAAUUUUGUGUGUUUGUGUGUGUAAAAA